rnacentral:rRNA from 1 species
AAAGCGUGCGCAGGCGGUUUUGUAAGACUGUCGUGAAAUCCCCGGGCUCAACCUGGGAAUGGCGAUGGUGACUGCAAGGCUAGAGUUUGGCAGAGGGGGGUAGAAUUCCACGUGUAGCAGUGAAAUGCGUAGAUAUGCGGAGGAACACCGAUGGCGAAGGCAAUCCCCUGGGCCUGUACUGACGCUCAUGCACGAAAGCGUGGGGAGCAAACAGGAUUAGAUACCCGGGU